rnacentral:rRNA from 1 species
AGUAAUGUAUGGGGAUCUGCCUGAUGGCGGGGGAUAACUACUGGAAACGGUAGCUAAUACCGCAUAAUGUCUGCGGACCAAAGCGGGGGACCUCCGGGCCUCGCGCCAUCAGAUGAACCCAUAUGGGAUUAGCUUGUAGGUGGGGUAACGGCUCACCUAGGCGACGAUCCCUAGCUGGUCUGAGAGGAUGAUCAGCCACACUGGGACUGAGACACGGCCCAG